CACACCCCCUCUAUAAGAAAAUCGCCCUGAAGGAAUAACAAGAAUUUUUCAAUUGGGGGAUUUUCUCUUGAGUGUUCUAGCCUCUUUUGCUUCCUGCCAGCCAGCGAUCGUUUGAGCUUUUGCCCUACGUUUUCCCCAUCAAAACGAAGAAACAAUUUUAGAUGACGGCCACGGGCUCUGUUCCAUCGAUUGCCGUCCCAGGCCAGCGGCUUGGUCCCAUAUCAUCGUUCAUUCCGGGCCCCGGAACCCACAUCCAACAUUCUUUUGUCUGCGCCUCGAUAGCCGGCCCGGUCGUUAUACAGAAGGGGGAGGAGGAGUUGUCGAGACAACAGUACCAGCAACAAGCAAUUAGUAAACAGCAAAGAACACUUGUAUCGGUCGCACGAUCCUUUGCGCAGACACAAACGGUUGCGGGGAAUUACACAGCUGUGACUGGGGAUAAUCCUAAGAGCAGCAGCACAAACUAUAUACAACAACAGCCGCAAAAGCCUCCAAACACAACACCCUCCACAACCACACCCUCAACGACGAAAAGACACAAAAGAUACAAAUAUAACACCCUCCCUGCCGUAGACUCCGUCGUCCUCGCUCGCGUCACCCGCGUCCAGAAGCGCCAAGCAACCCUCUCCAUCCUCGUCGUCCUCGAAGACAACCCCUCCUCCCCCUACCCCGCCACCACCACCGCCGCCGCCGCCGACGAGCUGCCCCACUCCCUUCUCUCCACCACGAACGCCGACCCCCUCAACGCCGACGACCUCCGCUUCCAAGCCCUAAUCCGCAAAGAAGAUGUGCGGGCCGUGGAGAAGGACCGCGUCGUGAUGGACGA
rnacentral:sRNA from 2 species